GGUGGUAGGCCGCGGCGUGGCGGGGGGUGGAUGGCCGGUGCGUGGCGGGGUGUGGAGGAUUCGCUGCGGGCGGGGUAUGAGGCUGAUAGGUUCGCGGUGGCGCGAUGGCCGGACGAGUGGCCGUUCCGGGAGGAGGGGGUGACGGCGGUACCGGCAAGCUGCGGUAGUGACGUCCGGCAAGCUGCGGUGGUGGCGUACAGUAAGUAACGUCGUCGUGGGACCUAGGCGGGCCGAGGGAAAGGGUCGCGCGGCGGCGGCUGGCCGAGGGAGGGGAUCUCGCAGCAACGCCGGGGUCGGGGUGAAGGAACGGCACCGUGUCGUGGCAGCUGACGCGGGAAGGGGUAGAAGGGGGAUCACGGAGCACCACCUUAGUGUUUCUGUCGACUACAACGAUAAAGAAAAACGACUACGAGUAAGUUUAGAGUACGAUGAAUACACGAUUUAAAGAUAUCAAAGAACAGCUUUACGGAUACUCUUCGUUUUUAUAAAACUACUUUAAACUACAACAAUAAGGAUACAAGGUCGUCAAAAAGACACACGACAUUAAAAGGAGACAGUUAGGUUUUUUCGUCGUCAAAUCGUGCUUUUUAUCAAAAAAGAGAAGAGUAAUGUGUUGUCUUUUCCAUAAACAGAGGUUGAUCGUAAUUCUCAAGUUUCAUGUGUUUCCUUUUUCCAAGUUAAAAGUUUUGAAAUUUCUCAAGUUUCAUGUGUUCUUGUAUUCAGGUCAUACGAAACACAGUCUAUAGACUAUAAACACUCCCCUUGAAGUUUAAAAAAAAGUCAAGUUGAAAACUUACACAAAGUCAAACAGAUGAAGGGCCAGCAGGACUCGACCUCUUAACGACGAUGACAAAUACACAAACGUUGACACUAACUACGUGAUGUAAAGUUAAAGCGUACAUCAAGUUUCUAACAUUCCCGAAACCUCGAAGUGAAAAUGUGAAGUAGAAAACUUACGAUAAGCCAAGUACAUGAAGGGUUAGCAUUACAGGUGUAACAUCUAUUAUAAACGUAACAGAAUUUAAAAACUUUUGUUCGAAGUCAUGUUCUUUUUACCCAAUCAGUCAAGUAGGUAUACGUUUGGGAGCAUUGUUUUGCAUAGCGAUUAGGUUAAUCGACUCCUACCCGUUGUAUACAAAUUCGUUCGUAAAUAUGGUACAAUGUUUUUUUUGAGGGGAGACAAGGUAUCUUCUAAAACACAAAAAACUAUAUAAAAUCUUUCUCUUCACAUGUGUGUCAUCGAACCGUAAACUAUUAACAAACGUUGAGCAUGUAAUCAAACUACUAAUACAUUAACGUAAUCCCGCAAUGGCAUCCAGAUUAUCAGAUCAUACAUAAACUAUUAACAAACCCCCACGGAUCAGACCGUUCUCAAAAGUUCAUCACUUCUAAAGUCGUCAUUUGAUACGUUUGUUAAAUUUUCAUGAGUUCAGGUUGAACGUUUGGUCAUCGUCAGGAUAUCACGUCGUACGUAUUUUAAGUUUUUAUCGUUUUGACUGAACUUUGUUUAAGGGUAGACCAACAAAUAAAGCAUCGAGUAGCACAGAUUAUGUUCGGUUACGAAGAUAAGAUUAGAUCAACAAAUAAAACAUCGAGCGCAAAAGAUUACAUUACAAUUUUCAGGUGAUCUACUUUUUAAGAGACACAAUCGAUCUAGUCAUGAUCAUGAGUCGUCAUGUUGUUCAUCGUCAUGACUAGUCAUGCUGAAUGUGUUUUUAUGAUCAUGACUAGUCAUUAUAAGAAUUAUAAUCUUCAUUGUAGGUAUAUUCUUUUUACGAAGAUAAGAUUGUGUAAAAAAAACCUUUUUUCUCUUGAUCAUGACUACUCAGCAUGACUGUUCCUACAGCAGAUGUUAAGACUACUCAGUAUGACUGUUCCUGUAUUAAUAACACGUUUACCUUUUUUGUUUUACAAAAUAUUUCUUUAAACGAACUUCAAGUUAAUGAUAUCAGAUUUUUUAAGUUAAUGUAGCGAUCACGUAAGUCUUAACGAUUAAAAAACUUUUUACUUCAAGGACAAAGUCCUAAUACAUUCAAGUUUUUAUAACAUACUACACACACGGUAUCAAUAGACUUGUAACUAAGACUGAUUAUAAGGUAAUAUCGUGAUGACGUAUAAGUGAAGACUAACGAAGAACGACGGUGAUAAAAAUAGUACUAAAACACACAGGUGGCUCCUCACAAAAAUAAGUAUCCUUUGACUUGGUUAUUGUCACCAACGAUGAUCACAAACCUUUAAUAUUAAUGAUCUUGAGAAUAAAGAGUGGGAAAAUUAACGACCGAUUAAGAACAUUUUUUCAUCACCAAUUAGAACGAUUAAUGAAACUACACUACGGAUCCACCAGUCAGGUCGAGGACGUUGGUUGUGUCCGGCAACGGGGAAAACGGUGUUGCCGUCGUCGUGUUUGUAAUCACACCAGCAGGAGUUGGUCAAGGAGUGCGCCGGAGGCGCGUUCGGGACGAGUACAUACGAAUAUGGUUUUCAUGUUGAGAACGAUGAGAGGAACAUGAACGUGAACGAAUAAAAGAUUCGUUAUUAAGGAUAACGAAGGAGAACCCCCUUCCCUAGGGUACAAUUUCGACAGAACCACGAGUGGGUGACAAAUAUAAGUAGUGGUAUCACAUGCUUUGUAUACUUUUGGUAAGACCGAAGCCUCUUUUAUAUUGCUCAUGUACACGUUAGUGCGCUCUUCAAGGGAAUACUUUCAAGGAACAUUUCUUUGGUGUACUUUCAAGUAGCUCUUUUUGAAACAUUCAAGUUUUGCCGAUAUCCUUUUGAAACAUCCAAGUCUACCCAUAUCUUUUGAAGCAUUCAAGUUUUACCGGUGCGAAUUGUCACGUACUUAUUUAUUUGAUAUGGGUUGUUUCAGGUACAACCAGCCAGAUGUCACACAACAGUUCUUCCAACAACCGGCUGUGACCGACUAGUAGAUGGAAGGUUAACAAUAAUCCGUAUAUGGUGACUUUGACGUCCAGCGCGGGAGGAGGGCGACAUCCAGCGCGGGAGGAGGGCGUAUCGGAUAACCAACCGCAUGGUACUGGGGAGGAGUACAAAAACCAUACUUAAACUACUUAGAAGAACUACGAGACAAGAAUAAGUAGAUCUCUAAGGAGGAGUAUAACUAACAAACAUAAAGAACAUGGCCAAAACAAGAACGUACAUACAUAGUCAAGCUACAAAACUCUAUCGAGUAUAAUGAAGGUUGACACUUCUAACUGUACGUAUAAACCCCUACUCUAAAAGUCCAUGAGGGAGGCAUUUGAUUAUAUUCUCGCAAAUCUUAUGAUUUCAUCACUAGAUUUGCGAGAAUAUAAUCAAAUGUCUCCUUCAUGAUCAAACCGUGACAUAGAUUGGGCAUGAUUUUAUAAAGUCGUCAAGUUGUCCCCGCACCCCAAGUCAAGCUUUCCACUACUGGGUCCGUCGGCUGGAAGCGUAUUGCUUGACCACGUCAAACUAGAACACACUUAACCUUUAGUGGACUACGACUCACACAGUCAUGUUGGGAUGCGAUGUUCCGUGCGCAUGUAGCUGAAGUACACAAUCAGUUAUCAUAACACGUAAAAGAACCAUGGAAACGAUGAGAUCGGUUUUUAUAAAACAACAAGUGAAAAGACACAAAACAACUUAUUAAGAGUACGACACAAAAGACACUCGAUGUUUUAGUAUCACGAAUUUUCUGGCUACACACGCAGUAUGAACUUAAUGUCUUCAAUGUCCUCUUUCAUGGGGAUAAGGUAAUGAAACUCAUCAUGUUCAUGUGGAAAGACUAUCAUGUCACGUUCGGGACGUGUUUACCGCGUCACCAUCUACGAACCACUUCAGGCAAUAUCGAACUCCAAAUGAGACUCCCUCAAGUACAGCUUGACGCGAAGUUGAUACGUACUACGAAAAAAGCCUCUUUCUUUGAUACCUUCCGAGUUUAAUAGAACUAUCAAGUUAGUGACUUUUUACUCCUCAAGACCCCCGAUGUAUGUUGGAAAGAUAUUUUUUUAUCUCAUCUUGUUCAUUACUAGUAUAAACAGUAGUACGAAAAUCGAUUUUAUCACAUACUAACUUUGAGCCAAGGUAAAUCUAGUGAUUAAUGAUAUUUCCGCUAAACUUCAAAGUAGGUGUAGUACAAGAACGUAGUUCACCGUGACAAACUACAUGGUGACUUAACGUCAAACCAAGUCAAGAAUAAGGUCACUGGUUCAAUCUAGUUAAAAAUAAAACACAAGUUAAGUCAAGUCAAAGACGGGGCGUAUAUUCAAGUGGAUAAAAUAACGAUUUUAUCCAAGUAAAACAAGGGACAUCCUAGAACGGUACUAAUGGAAACACUUUGGACAUGUGAGUUGUGAGUAUAGAUACAUAACUCUUGGUUUAAAGAAAAUUAUUACUCGAAAUGAAAGUAUGAUUGUAAAGUAAAUAGAAGAAAAUGUCAUCUCGUUUAUGAUAAAAAAUACGGUUCAUUCAAGUUUGUCUUGACUUUCACCUCCAUGUAUUGGUUAAGUUUACGAACAAAACCAAUACAAAUACCUUUGAGUAUUAAAAAUAGAAACAGGUGACAAUCGAUACAUUUUGUUUAGUUAUUUUUCAAGUGAAAAGUUACGAAAUUAUCAAGUUAACCAUUUUUGUCAUCCACAAGUAAGAUGUUUUUUCGUGACUGAAAAUACACAUUUCUUUCUUUACCUUUAGAUAUUCAAGUAUGUCCCUGUAUAUAUACCACUUGAACGCAGGUCGUGUGCUCGUAAACGAAGGUGGUGAUUUCCGUAAACAUAGGCCGUGUACUCGAUGUACUCGAUGUACGAGUUGUCAACGUGUGACGGCGGUACCUGUACGUGUUUACUAUAAUUCAUCUUCAAACAAUCAAGUCAAAAAAUAACUAAAUGGAACAAAUUCAUUAUCACGUCGUUAUUUCCACAUCAACAUGUCUCAAAAUCAACGAUAUACCCCUUGGGUAUCCGGUAAAUAAAACCAAAUGUCAAGUCGAACACACAAGAAAAGUCAGACAUACGAAAUAACACGUAUUUUCCACAUCAAGAUAUUGUUCCCGUUUUCAAUGACCCAAGUUGUUUUUGCUUUUACGAUCAAAGAGAAAAUACACUAAAAAUCAAGAAGGGGCGCGAGAAAACACUACGAGACCGUUUUUCUACUGAUAUCAACAAUAUCUUUUUUGUCAUGUUUGAAAAAUAUUUCAAACAAAAAAACUUGAAGAGGGUUAGUUAUAUGACUUGAACUAAUAGAAAAAUUGUCAUGAACGUAGUUGAGUAACCUUAACCACACACACGAACAUUGUGUUAGUCAAGUCUAGAGCUCUCUGGUAUUCAAACAACUGUUUGUACAUAUAAUCAAGUAUAGAGCUCUCAGGUAUUAAAACAUUCCGGUCUUUUACGUUACCGAAUCAUGUAGUGUCGUCGAGAGACUACGUCUUUCCUACCGAGAAGAGUUCAGUCGUCGAUUUGUUUGACCGUUGAAGUCCCAUCGAGUUAGUUAUAUCCUCGACACGUCAUUUGUCGAAGUCAGCUCUUUAGUCGUUCAACAUUACGUAUCACAGAAGGUCCGUGGACAAACAACAAAGGAUUAGUGGGAUUAAGGAUUUUAUAAGAUGAGUUGAAGUCGCGGUACGAGUCAGGUUGGUGUACCGAAGUCCCACGGGCUCAAGCAGCGCUGGUAGUCAAGCUUCUGACGGUGACGCACACAGCGAUGGUACCGGUGGACGCAGUGACGCACGAGGCAGUUGU
rnacentral:rRNA from 1 species